rnacentral:lncRNA from 1 species
ACUCACGCACGCACACCGCCGUACACAGCACAAUCGUUCACCGUCCCGCCAAAGGCUCGUCUCUCGGGUUCUGCCUAGUGGAAGGAGUCGGACAACGCCGCACGUCACGGGCGUUUCGGAUUUCUUGCUUCCCAAAGGUUUGACGGCGGCCACCGGCGCCCCGGCCCAGCUCUGCUUUCCUUUGCUGACUCCUUCCUUUAGGCUGUCUACCACCACUGCUGCGCUUGUGGAUGACUGCAGGAACACCGGGUACUUGCCACAAGUAUCUCUCCAGAUUCAUCAGCCUUUCACCUGUGACAAGCUCAGUCAAGAAGUGGCUCCUAAGUAAAAGCUGGGGAAGAACAAGGAAGAUAGAGCUCA